ACCAAAGGAUCAUAGUAUU
rnacentral:tRNA from 2 species